ACUCAAUACUGUAACAAACCUGAAGGGAUACUUGGAGUAACGCUAAAGCUGUCUCCAUGUGACCUAUAGGUCACUGGUUUGAGCCGUAGAAGCAGCCACUAAUGCAUGCAUUAGGGUAUGCUGUCUAUAUCACACACCUUAGGGUGCGUGCACCGGGCUACCCAAUACUGCAACGAACCUCGUGGUUAGUAGGAUGUGUCUUAUGAUUCCAUGUAGUCAAGCCUAUUAAUAAGAAUGCAAGCAAAGUUAGAUCAUACUCAAUUACUCAUGCAUUCUGUUCUGGAAAUUAUCAGAUGCCAGGCCAACAUGACAGACAUAUGUAUUAGGAAUCUAUAUGCAGCAAUCAAGUGCAAACUUGUAUACACGUGUGCCCAUAUCACACUGUAGCAUCUUCAACUUGUGGGUCUCAAAACCACUUUGAUCUCAACUUGUCUAAUCAAUGCAAUAUUGACAAGAAAAUAGCCAGCCACUAUCUUGUAAUCUUCUCAAUGUACUUCUUUCCCUUCCUACGGAUGCUGGCUUUCUAUUCAGGAGAAAAUAAUGCUGAAACAUACCUAAAAUUUUCCUUUAUCUAGUCUUGAAUUUCUUCCUCCAACUACCAAGUAAAUAUCUUUCUUCUAACACAGGUUUCUCCAAAAACUCUCGAACGAGCACCCCGGUUUCAUCUGCACUUCUCCAGAUAGUUCAAAAUGAAGGUGAGUCCAAAAUUAAAGUCGCAUAUAUAUCUGGUUAUGCUCGAUCAAAUCAAACUUUCUAACUUCAUCAGUGUUGCAGCUACUAGGUUGGAUGCACCGUAAAGCAAAGCAAAACAGCAAUGAGUCCGCGAAGAAUAUCAUACUAGGUAUGUAAUUAUUUCACACUGCAUAUAUCUGCUUUCAGUUCUUUCCAUUUGGAAUGAACUCUUUUACACUAUCCUUUUCCUUUCAAUUGUUACAUUUUUAUCUUAUUUUUCUCACUAUUAUGAUCAUCAUUAUUUUCAGGAAACUCUGCUACUUCCUUCUCAGCUGGCACAUUAUUUGAAGAGCAAGAAUACUAUGGAGAAGCAAACUACAGCUUCACAAUCUCAAAGCAACCUGCUUGCAAGGAAGUUAAAAGCACCGAAACAGAAUUGGCUUUGGAAGAAGAACUUUUCCAUGGUUUUCUUUCAAUCGGUACUCUUGGUUCUGAAACAAUAAAAAGUGACCCUCCAACUCCUACACUUCCUAUGCAUCUUGAGCAUGUAAUUCAUGGUGAAGUAAAGCUAGACAUAAAAGACAAUGAAUUGAAGCUUAUAAAUGAUGAGCUAGAGAAGUUUCUAGAAGCUGAAGUUGCUCAUGAAUCAUCAGAGAGAAGCAGCCAUGCAAGCAUUAUUACACUCAGUGGCGGAAAACAAUUAAUUGAGGAGGCUGAAUUACCAGAAACUUACGAUAAUUCUGUCGAAUUCCC
rnacentral:lncRNA from 1 species